GACGAACGCUGGCGGCGUGCUUAACACAUGCAAGUCGAACGCUGAAGCUUGGUGCUUGCACUGGGUGGAUGAGUGGCGAACGGGUGAGUAAUACGUGAGUAACCUGCCCUUGACUCUGGGAUAAGCCUGGGAAACUGGGUCUAAUACUGGAUACGACAUGCCACUGCAUGGUGGUGUGUGGAAAGGGUUUUACUGGUUUUGGAUGGGCUCACGGCCUAUCAGCUUGUUGGUGGGGUAAUGGCCUACCAAGGCGACGACGGGUAGCCGGCCUGAGAGGGUGAACGGCCACACUGGGACUGAGACACGGACCAGACUCCUACGGGAGGCAGCAGUGGGGAAUAUUGCACAAUGGGCGGAAGCCUGAUGAAGCGACGCCGCGUGAGGGAUGACGGCCUUCGGGUUGUAAACCUCUUUCAGCACGGAAGAAGCGAGAGUGACGGUACGUGCAGAAGAAGCGCCGGCUAACUACGUG
rnacentral:rRNA from 1 species